rnacentral:lncRNA from 1 species
CUUUAUAUUCCAGACAGCUCUGCCUGAACUGACACUUUGUAUCUCUCUGAAAAGGGGACAACACAGCCUCACCUGCAGCCACCUGGACAGGUAACAAAGUAACACUUACUGUAUGGCAGGAGCUUGUCUGACUUAGGCAGGAAGUAGAAAUGUAUUAUUAUUAUUUAUUAUUAUUAUUAAUCUGUUAUAUCUCAGGAAGUAGAAACGUUAUUAUUAUUAUUUAUUAUUAUUAUUAAUCUGUUAUAUCUCAGGAAGUAGAAACUUAUUAUUAUUAUUUAUUAUUAUUAUUAAUCUGUUAUAUCUCAGGAAGUAGAAACUUGUUUAUUAUUAUUAUUAUUUAUUAUUAUUAAUCUGUUAUAUCUCAGGAAGUAGAAACGUGUUUAUUAUUAUUAGUAUGUAUAAGGUUGCAUGUGAAGUGUAGGUUCAGCUAGGCUUCUGUACUCAAUAUGCUGUGUGCAAACCCCAUUAAUUCUCAUUCAGGUAAGAGUGAUGGCAGUUGCAGUCCAUCCUCCCAGUCCUGCCUGCACACAGCUCAGUGGUUGUGGUUACAGUGUGCAGUAUUUUGCUAUAAUUUGGUUACAAUGGAAUGAUAUAUAUAGUGAAGGUACGUCUCCUUCACCCCCCACAAUAUAAACAUGCCAUUGCCAAACUAAUGAAAGAAACUAUAGAGAUAUUAAGUAAAAUGGAAUAAAUGGCCGCUUGCAAUCCAGCUCCCUGUAGGUACCUGCUUACUGACUGAUCCAGCCAAACUAUAACUACAGGAACUACACAAAACAAAACACACAUCUUGUGUCUCAUUAUAUUAUCUGCAGUUUCCUUCCCCCUAUAUUAAUGGCUGGAGUCGCUGCUGAGAGGCCAAGAAACUAAUCAUGUUAAGGUAUUGGGGGCUUUUUUUAAAAAUGCCCCAUUUCUAGACCCCUCACACAGGCUUUGUAUAGGGUCAUCAAGUAAAUCAAAUUGCAGAGACAAACCACCCAGGUGUCCCUAUUAAGGAGGCACAGUCCUUAUUUUUGGACCAGACCCCUCUGUCUGUCUUUUCUAGGAGCUCCAUAUUGUUGGUGUGUCUGAGUGUAUAACAGAGCCCCACAGUAAUAAUACUCCCAGUAAUGUGUCUGAGUGUAUAACAGAGCCCCACAGCAAUAAUACUCCCAGUAAUGUGUCUGAGUGUAUAACAGAGCCCACAGCGAUAAUACUCCCAGUAAUGUGUCUGAGUGUAUAACAGAGCUCCACAGGAAUAAUACUCCCAGUAAUGUGUCUGAGUGUAUAACAGAGCUCCACAGCAAUAAUACUCCCAGUAAUGUGUCUGAGUGUAUAACAGAGCUCCACAGCAAUAAUACUCCCAGUAAUGUGUCUGAGUGUAUAACAGAGCUCCACAGCAAUAAUACUCCCAGUAAUGUGUCUGAGUGUAUAACAGAGCUCCACAGCAAUAAUACUCCCAGUAAUGUGUCUGAGUGUAUAACAGAGCUCCACAGCAAUAAUACUCCCAGUAAUGUGUCUGAGUGUAUAACAGAGCUCCACAGCAAUAAUACUCCCAGUAAUGUGUCUGAGUGUAUAACAGAGCUCCACAGCAAUAAUACUCCCAGUAAUGUGUCUGAGUGUAUAACAGAGCUCCACAGCAAUAAUACUCCCAGUAAUGUGUCUGAGUGUAUAACAGAGCUCCACAGCAAUAAUACUCCCAGUAAUGUGUCUGAGUGUAUAACAGAGCCCACAGCAAUAAUACUCCCAGUAAUGUGUCUGAGUGUAUAACAGAGCUCCACAGCAAUAAUACUCCCAGUAAUGUGUCUGAGUGUAUAACAGAGCUCCACAGCAAUAAUACUCCCAGUAAUGUGUCUGAGUGUAUAACAGAGCUCCACAGCAAUAAUACUCCCAGUAAUGUGUCUGAGUGUAUAACAGAGCUCCACAGCAAUAAUACUCCCAGUAAUGUGUCUGAGUGUAUAACAGAGCUCCACAGCAAUAAUACUCCCAGUAAUGUGUCUGAGUGUAUAACAGAGCUCCACAGCAAUAAUACUCCCAGUAAUGUGUCUGAGUGUAUAACAGAGCUCCACAGCAAUAAUACUCCCAGUAAUGUGUCUGAGUGUAUAACAGAGCUCCACAGCAAUAAUACUCCCAGUAAUGUGACUGAGUGUAUAACAGAACUCCACAGUAAUAAUACUCCCAGUAAUGUGACUGAGUGUAUAACAGAACUCCACAGCAAUAAUACUCCCAGUAAUGUGUAUUUAAAGUGGCUCUGUUGCUUCUCCCUUCUCCACCCUCCACCUGCCCUCCGCCUCCUCUCCUCUCCGCCCCCCAAGCCCCCAAUCUUUAUAACAUGCAUCAUUCACAUAUCUUCUUGCAAAUGGCCGGAUAGACAUAUUUUCUAUCAGUUAAGUGACAGCAAGUUAGCUAAAAAUAAGUAAAUAUUCUAGUUUUGCCAUUUCCCGCCAUACAUGAGAUAAAUAAUCUACUUUGAUUUAUGUGUAUCUUUCAAUGUGCGCCAUAUUAGGAUUAAUGGCACCUUGUAAAACGUGGGCUAGAGGACCCCUGUGCUUUCACCAAUAACCGUGACUUUCUGAUUCAGGGCAUCUUGUGUCUCCUGGGAGCCAUUUUAAAUACGUCAACAAUUACCAGAUUAACGUGGAAAUGGAGGCUGUUGGAAGGGAACCAUUGGGCCCUGUGCUGCUAUGCCGAAAUGAAGACAACAACGGAGUGAGUAGCGUCCAUUGCUGGACGUAGAAAUUAAAUUACUGUGAUGGUGAUGGAUUGUAUUGUGUUUUUACAAUCUUUAUUUGGUUUUAUUUGAGUUCAAUCACAUGUGAAAGGGUUACAUAAAGGAAAUAAACUUUCUGCGCAUGAACAGCCAGCGUUUCUUUCUGGUUUUUGUUUCCUCUUUUUUCCCCCUUUCUUUAUGGAUUCAGUCUGAUAAAUUCCCGCUUUUCUAUUUCUACACAGAAUAAUGUUACCGCGGAGGAGAACAAAAAGGAGCAAAGGUAAA